AUAAACAAGUUGUUAUCGCCAGAAUUAAUUCUUGCAGAGAGUAAAAUUUAUGUUUAAAAUUUUAAGUGAGUUUGGAACCAUAAAAUUCGCUGAGAAUUAUAAACAAGCGCUCAUUCUUUCCAAGGCAUUUAUAGAAAUAAACAGGCAGUCGACGCAUUGGAAUUUCUGCAGCUCCAAUGAACAAAUCGUGCCGUCGGCGCCUAGACAGGAUAUACGUGUUCAAAGCGCGUUUCCCCGAACUGCAAAAUUGGAAAACAUGUUACUCUCCCGAACGAACGCCAACAAAUCAUUUUUAACAACCGAUUUUUUUUCGGGCGCAUUCCGCAUGUUUUUCUCUUAACUCAAUCUUAACUUUCUAGGCGUAGGUACAUUCAUCAUUAAUCACACUCGCAUCUGCAAUGCGAUGAAUAAAUCUGUUGGAAAUCAA